rnacentral:rRNA from 1 species
CUCCUACGGGAGGCAGCAGUGGGGAAUCUUGCACAAUGGGGGAAACCCUGAUGCAGCGACGCCGCGUGAGCGAUGAAGCCCUUCGGGGUGUAAAGCUCUUUCGGCAGGGAAGAUGAUGACGGUACCUGCAGAAGCAGCUGCGGCUAACUACGUGCCAGCAGCCGCGGUAAUACGUAGGCAGCGAGCGUUGUUCGGAGUUACUGGGCGUAAAGGGUGUGUAGGCGGUUGUUUAAGUUUGGUGUGAAAUCUCCCGGCUCAACUGGGAGGGUGCGCCGAAUACUGAAUGACUUCGAGUGCGGGAGAGGAAAGUGGAAUUCCUGGUGUAGCGGUGAAAUGCGUAGAUAUCAGGAGGAACACCGGUGGUGUAGACGGCUUUCUGGACCGUAACUGACGCUGAGACACGAAAGCGUGGGUAGCAAACAGGAUUAGAUACCCUGGUAGUCCACGCCCUAAACGAUGCAUAUUUGGUGUGGGCAGUUCAUUCUGUCCGUGCCGGAGCUAACGCGUUAAAUAUGCCGCCUGGGGAGUACAGUCGCAAGGCUGAAACUCAAAGGAAUUGACGG